AAGCUAGCGGCAGACUUAACACAUGCAAGUCGAGGGGUAGAUGCAGCUUGCUGCAUUGAGACCGGCGCACGGGUGCGUAACGCGUAUGCAAUCUGCCUUGUACUGGGGGAUAGCCCAGAGAAAUUUGGAUUAAUACCCCAUGGUAUUUUGGUGUGGCAUCACACUAUUAUUAAAGAUUUAUCGGUACAAGAUGAGCAUGCGUCCCAUUAGUUAGUUGGUAAGGUAACGGCUUACCAAGACGAUGAUGGGUAGGGGUCCUGAGAGGGAGAUCCCCCACACUGGUACUGAGACACGGACCAGACUCCUACGGGAGGCAGCAGUGAGGAAUAUUGGUCAAUGGGCGCAAGCCUGAACCAGCCAUGCCGCGUGCAGGAUGACUGCCCUAUGGGUUGUAAACUGCUUUUAUACGGGAAGAAACCCCUCCACGUGUGGAGGAUUGACGGUACCGUAAGAAUAAGGAUCGGCUAACUCCGUGCCAGCAGCCGCGGUAAUACGGAGGAUCCAAGCGUUAUCCGGAAUCAUUGGGUUUAAAGGGUCCGUAGGCGGGUCUGUAAGUCAGUGGUGAAAUCUCCCGGCUCAACCGGGAAACUGCCAUUGAUACUGCAGGUCUUGAAUGUUUGUGAAGUAACUAGAAUAUGUAGUGUAGCGGUGAAAUGCUUAGAUAUUACAUGGAAUACCGAUUGCGAAGGCAGGUUACUAACAAAUGAUUGACGCUGAUGGACGAAAGCGUGGGGAGCGAACAGGAUUAGAUACCCUGGUAGUCCACGCCGUAAACGAUGGAUACUAGCUGUCGGACUGUAAGGUUCGGUGGCUAAGCGAAAGUGAUAAGUAUCCCACCUGGGGAGUACGGCCGCAAGGCUGAAACUCAAAUGAAUUGACGGAAGGGCGAAUUCUGC
rnacentral:rRNA from 1 species